UCCUACGGGAGGCAGCAGUGGGGAAUAUUGCACAAUGGGGGAAACCCUGAUGCAGCGACGCCGCGUGGAGGAAAGAAGGUCUUCGGAUUGUAAACUCCUGUUGUUGAGGAAGAUAAUGACGGUACUCAACAAGGAAGUGACGGCUAACUACGUGC
rnacentral:rRNA from 1 species